UACGUAGGGUCCAAGCGUUAAUCGGAAUUACUGGGCGUAAAGCGUGCGCAGGCGGUUCUGAAAGUCAGCUGUGAAAGCCCCGGGCUUAACCUGGGAAUGGCGGUUGAAACUACAGGACUAGAAUCUGGCAGAGGGGGGUGGAAUUCCACGUGUAGCAGUGAAAUGCGUAGAGAUGUGGAGAAACACCGAUGGCGAAGGCAGCCCCCUGGGCUGAGAUUGACGCUCAGGCACGAAAGCGUGGGGAGCAAACAGG
rnacentral:rRNA from 1 species